GACGAACGCUGGCGGCGUGCUUAACACAUGCAAGUCGAACGGUGAAGCGCCUUCCUUUUUGGUGGGUGUGGAUGAGUGGCGAACGGGUGAGUAACACGUGAGUAACCUGCCCCCUUCUUCUGGAUAACCGCAUGAAAGUGUGGCUAAUACGGGAUAUUCUGGGUCUGUCGCAUGAUGGGUCUGGGAAAGAUAUUGUUUCGGUUGGGGAUGGGCUCGCGGCCUAUCAGCUUGUUGGUGGGGUGAUGGCCUACCAAGGCGGUGACGGGUAGCCGGCCUGAGAGGGUCGACGGUCACACUGGGACUGAGACACGGCCCAGACUCCUACGGGAGGCAGCAGUGGGGAAUAUUGCACAAUGGGCGCAAGCCUGAUGCAGCGACGCCGCGUGAGGGAUGGAGGCCUUCGGGUUGUGAACCUCUUUCGCCAGUGAAGCAGGCCUGCCUCGUUUGUGGGUGGGUUGACGGUAGCUGGAUAAGAAGCGCCGGCUAACUACGUG
rnacentral:rRNA from 1 species